rnacentral:tRNA from 1 species
CAAAGGGUAGUUUAAUUUUUCAAAAAAAAUAUUAAUUUUGGAGAUUAAUGAUAAGAUGUAUCUUUCCUUUGA